GAUGAACGCUGGCGGCGUGCCUAAUACAUGCAAGUCGAGCGAACAGACGAGGAGCUUGCUCCUCUGACGUUAGCGGCGGACGGGUGAGUAACACGUGGAUAACCCACCUAUAAGACUGGGAUAACUUCGGGAAACCAGCGCUAAUACCGGAUAAUAUAUUGAACCGCAUGGUUCAAUAGUGAAAGACGGUUUUGCUGUCACUUCUAGAUGGAUCCGCGCCGCAUUAGCUAGUUGGUAAGGUCACGGCUUUCCAAGGCAACGAGGCCUAGCCGACCUGACAGAGUGAUCGGCCACACUGGAGCGGGAACACGGUCCAGAGUACUACGGGAGGCCGCAGAAGGGAAUCUUACGCAAUGGGCGAAAGCCUGACGGAGCAACGCCGCGUGAGUGAUGACGGUGUUCGGAUCGUAAAACUCUGUUAUUAGGGAAGAACAAAUGUGUAAGUAGCUGUGCACGUCGUGACGGUACCUAAUCAGAAAGCCACGGCUAACUACGUG
rnacentral:rRNA from 1 species